GGAGUAGAUACCAAGACCUAGAAUAUUCAUGAUAUACACUUUUAAAUACAGAUAUUUAAUAUAUAUAUUCAUCUAACACAGUAUAUCUGUAUCUAUACAUGUAUAUCACAAAUAUUCUAGGUCUUGGUAUCUACUCC